CCCUCCCAGGUGUUUAUACCGGGCAGUGCUCUCUGGUAAACUUUCUGCUCGCCAGUCUUCACCUCGAAUCUGCUCCCUGGGGAGCAUGAGCUGUGGCCGUUGGGACCAGGCAUGGAUCCCAGCAAGUGGGUGCCAGGGUGGGAGUCUGGAGUUAGAGCACUGGCCACGCGGACCCCUUCACCGUUGACACAAGAUACUUGUAUGAUGGUCAGAGCCCAUAUUCGGAUCCCCCUGCAUCUCUGGCACUGUCACACGUGGCAGGUAUCUACGGCUAGUAAAGCACCGUGUCUCCUUUAAAGAUGCGCAGUUGGGGGACAGGGUUCCAGGACACCGCUGGGUUAGCGAACACACAGACCUGUGAGAGUGGCCCCAGGAGAAAACAUGGAAGCUCCCUUCCUGGCUCACAGCUUCCAAAACCUCUGGAAUCUCCUGAGCGCAGAGAGUGAGGAAGAUGUGUUAUGUCAGUAAGGGGACACCGGGAAAGCACCGAAGGACGGGGCUGAUUACCAGGAGACCCAGCCUUGUGACUAGAGGGCUGGAACUUUCAGUGCCCCUGCGACCUCUGCAGAGAGCAGACUGAUUGUCAGUGGAUUCAGAGAACUGGGCCGGCGAACACAUGGAGCUGCUCGGAGAGGGGCCCCUGGAGAGGGCGUGACAGCUCUGGGCCCUGUCCCCAACCUUGCCCUUGACAUCUCUUCCACCUGGCUGUUCCUCACACACACUCUUUCACAAUAAACUGGCAAUUUACUAAGUAAAAUGUUUUUCUGAGUUCUGUG